rnacentral:rRNA from 1 species
GUUGAAACUUGGUUUUGAUUUUGCAAUUUAGGUCGCUGGGGGGAGACACAACAUGGUAGUUUUGCGGUACUGUAAAUGACAUAAUUUAUACGAUAUUAGUUUAAAUAGUUAAUGUAUUUAUAAAUUACGUAGUAUUAGGGGGUGUCCCGAAAAUACUUAAGAUUCCUUACAACGCCAGUAUAUCAUAUUAUUGACAAGAAGAUUCUUGAUUUAGCAACUCAGCAGAUAAGCGGCAAAAAUCGUGCCAGCAGCUGCGGUUACACGGAGGCUUAGACUUAAAUAUCUAUGGCUUAAAAGAUGGUUAUAAGAGUUUUGUAUUAAUUAGGUGCUGAUUAGUAAAGAAGUAAAAUUCGCAUAUUGAUUUUUAUCUAUUAUUAAUUUAUUUUUCAUGCCAUGAAACUUUAACUGAAAACUGGGAUUAGAUACCCCACUAUUCUAUAAAUUAAAUUUUAUUUAUGCCAGGGGAGUACGAGAUUUUAUUUUGGCUUAAAACUCAAAAAACUUGGCGGUGCUUAAGGCCCAUUUAGGGGAGCCUGUUCUGUAAUUGAUAACCCGCGUUUUACCUUUCUUUAUUUUGUUUUCAGUUUGUAUACCGCCGUCGUAAGCAUAUUUUUAAGAACGGGAUAAUAGGCAAUAUAAUUAGAAUCAUUUUUAUGUCAGGUCAAGGUGCAGCUAAUAAUAAAGAUGAAAUGGGCUACAAUUUAAAUUAAAAUUUACGAAUAAUUUCUAUGAAUAAUGAAUUUGAAGUUGGACUUAAUAGUAAUAUCCUGUUUUAGAAUGCAGUGAUGAAAAAGGACCUAAAGCGUGUACAUAUCGCCCGUCGCUCUCGUUGGAAAAGGAGAUAAGUCGUAACAUAGUAGAAGUAGCGGAAGCUGUUUCUAAA